UACGUAGGGUGCAAGCGUUGUCCGGAUUUAUUGGGCGUAAAGAGCUCGUAGGCGGUUUGUCGCGUCGGCUGUGAAAACUCGGGGCUCAACCCCGAGCCUGCAGUCGAUACGGGCAAACUAGAGUUCGGCAGGGGAGACUGGAAUUCCUGGUGUAGCGGUGAAAUGCGCAGAUAUCAGGAGGAACACCGAUGGCGAAGGCAGGUCUCUGGGCAUUAACUGACGCUGAGGAGCGAAAGCAUGGGGAGCGAACAGG
rnacentral:rRNA from 1 species